CUGGCUAUCUUCCAGCUUCAUGAACAAGCUCUUGCAGGGAAUGGGCAGCCUUCAUCUCUGUCCCUCUGCCAUCCCUGGAUAAAUUCUGGCUAAAAGGAAUUUAGCAUGUUAAAGAAGGAUUUUCCUUUCAAAUAUCUCUCACCAAUCUUCAUGAAACUUGUUCCUUUCAGGUGAUGCCCAC